rnacentral:rRNA from 1 species
GAUGAACGCUGGCGGCGUGCUUAACACAUGCAAGUCGAACGAAGCACUUUAUUUGAUUUCCUUCGGGACUGAUUAUUUUGUGACUGAGUGGCGGACGGGUGAGUAACGCGUGGGUAACCUGCCUUGUACAGGGGGAUAACAGUUGGAAACGGCUGCUAAUACCGCAUAAGCGCACAGCAUCGCAUGAUGCAGUGUGAAAAACUCCGGUGGUAUAAGAUGGACCCGCGUUGGAUUAGCUAGUUGGUGAGGUAACGGCCCACCAAGGCGACGAUCCAUAGCCGGCCUGAGAGAGUGACCGGCCACAUUGGGACUAGGACACAGCACAGACUCCUACGGGAGGCAGCAGUGGGGAAUAUUGCACAAUGGGCGAAAGCCUGAUGCAGCGACGCCGCGUAAGCGAAGAAGUAUUGCGAUAUGUAAAGCUCUAUCAGCAGGGAAGAUAAUGACGGUACCUGACGAAGAAGCACCGGCUAAAUACGUG